rnacentral:rRNA from 1 species
ACGGGAGGCAGCAGUGAGGAAUAUUGGUCAAUGGGCGGAAGCCUGAACCAGCCAAGUCGCGUGAAGGAUGAAGGUAUUAUGUAUUGUAAACUUCUUUAGACGCAGAGAAAUAAGCAGGUCGUGACCUGUGAUGCUAGUAUGCGUAGAAUAAGGAUCGGCUAACUCCGUGCCAGCAGCCGCGGUAAUACGGAGGAUCCGAGCGUUAUCCGGAUUUAUUGGGUUUAAAGGGAGCGUAGGCUGGAUGUUAAGUCAGCGGUCAAAAGGAGCGGCUCAACCGUUCUUCGCCGUUGAUACUGGUAUCCUUGAGUGCGCAAGAGGUGGAUGGAAUUUAGGGUGUAGCGGUGAAAUGCUUAGAUAUCCUAAAGAACUCCGAUUGCGAAGGCAGUCCACUGGGGCGCAACUGACGCUGAAGCUCGAAAGUGCGGGUAUCAAACAGGAUUAGAUACCCUGGUA